rnacentral:tRNA from 1 species
GCUUCAGUGGCUCGAUGGUUAAGUAUUUGGCUAUUAACCAAAAGGUCACUGGUUCAAAUCCACCAGCAGCU